GACGGCCCAGAUUGCAUCGCGGUGGACGACCCAGAUUUAAUUCCAAUUAAAUCUCGAUCGGACAGUACAUAUGUAAUCUUGAUGGACGGUUGAGAUUAAAAGGCAAAUGGUAUAAAUAUCCCCACCCACACCUGACAACAAAACCCUAGCCGCUAGUGCCUCGCCGGAGAAGAAAAAUUGGACGUCGGAGGAGCCAGCCGCCGCUGCACCGGAGAAGUUUUCGAUCGCCAAUCGAGGUAAAUUUUCUCCCCUGGCUCAUUUUUCGAUGCUGAAUCCGCUUAUGGCCAAACCGGAGCCAAACCACCGGCCAAACGGCUGAAAAACCCCACCGAAGUCCGACAGCGCCGCCAUGACUCCCCUCUGUUUUUGCCUUCGAUGAGGCCCUUCCCGGCCUCCGUUCGAUGCAAAUUUUAUACCACUGUGAUCACCGUUCUUUUCUCUACAGGUUGAUCGGAGCCAAACAUCAAAACGCAACUCACGCUGGAGGAGCCGCUGCACCCGAGAGCACCGCCGCCGG
rnacentral:lncRNA from 1 species